UGGGGGUUCAGGAUCGUUUAGCAUGCAGAGUGAUUGAACCACCAACCAUCCACUUCGUAGAUGACCUGCUCCACCUGCUGCAGCCACCCCGAUUGUUUGGAGAACUCGGGCGUGAAACUAUGAGGAAAGCCAACGUUCUCCUCUUUCCACAGAAGUGAUCUGUGGCUGCUGGACUUCAUUCCUCAAAUUAACAAAGUGUGAAGCUGAACUCUGAGCUGUGACAGUGUGAGCAGUGUGAGAGUGUCAGUAGAUGAUCAGCAGAGGAAAGUGAGAGCUGCUGUGAGCUGAUGUCCUGAAGGGCUUUUAAAGAGUCUCUGAGUUUGACAGGAACAUGAAGAUGUUUGUGGUGUUUGUGAUCCUCCUGCACGUUUCCCAGCAUGCCUCAGCUGUGGAGCUGUAUGAGGGAGAGCCGUCUGUCCUGCUGCCCUGUGAGUUUCCCACUUUUGAACUGGACAGCCCCACGGUGGUGUGGAGUCGCUCCGACCUCAGUCCUCCAACCGUCCACCAGCGUCAGCUUCAAGGAGACAAACUGAAAGAUCAAAACCAGCGUUACAGCGGCCGAACAUCCAUGAAGACUGACGCUCUGGAAACUGGAGACCUCAGCCUGACCCUGACUGACCUCCAACUGUCUGACAGUGGCACCUAUACCUGCUCCAUCAGAUCGUUUAGAGGAGAAUGGAGACUGAGAGAUGUCCCACUGCAGGUCAAAGAACCAUUUCCAUCCUGGGCCACAGCUCUCCUGGUUCUCCUGGUUCUUGUUCUCAUCGUCUCUGGAGGUCUUUUAUUUCAUUUCCGGCACUAUUUCAUGUCAGUUUACAAGGUGGAGGUGGAUUCAGGGGUGGAGUCUGUCCUGCUCCCCUGUAAAGCCACACUUCAGCUGCCUAAAGACGUUAGAGUGGAGUGGAAGGACAUGAAAGACAGGAAGGUCCACGUGUGUGAGAACAGCUCUGACAAGAAUAAAGAACAGGAUGAAGUUUACAGAAAUCGAACAAAGAUGAAUGAAGACCUGCUGAAAACUGGAGACCUCAGUCUGAGCCUGAAACACCCCACAGAGAGAGACACAAACACCUACACCUGCACCGUCUACAGCAGGGACGGAAACAUCCUGCUGAAGAAACAAGUGCUGCUUACUGUCAGAGAGUGUCGGGUGGAGGUGGAGGUGGGGGCGGAGUCUGUCCAGCUGCCCUUCAAAACCACAGCUCAGCUGCCUGAAGACACUCAGGUGGAGUGGUGGCACCGUCCUGAGAAGCCUGACAAACAGGAGCGGGAUUACAGAGACCGAGUGAAGAUGAAGGACGAGCGUGUGAAAAGCGGACGGUUCAGCCUGACCCUUGAACGCCCCACAGAGAGAGACAGUGGCAGAUACAGCUGUGUGGCCUGGAGCCAGGGAAACAUCAUCGGAUGGAGAGUCGUGCUGCUCACAGUUACAGGGAGAGAUCAGCACAUCAGGAACAGAAGCAGCUCCAUUGAUCCGACUCCUCUGAUGGCUGAAGUUUGAUCUGUGUUCCUUUGUUAUUGAUCAGUGAUGUCAGAGUGGAGUCAGUGUGAUGCUAUCAGUUAUACUGGAAACACUUUGCUUCAGUUUCUCCUACUGAUCAGUUUCUGUCUUGACUCUGUUUAAAGCUUUGUGAGUGUCGGUGGGCAGUGAGCAUGAGUGGGAGCCGUGGACGCUGCUGCAGGAAGGCUGCAUGUCAUUUAUUUGUAUGAGUUUAAUCCAUUAAAGUUAAUAAAGAGC
ensembl:lncRNA